rnacentral:misc_RNA from 1 species
UUUCCGUAGGUGAACCUGCGGAAGGAUCAUUAAAAAAUGUGGUACCAAUUGUUGGUACUAAAUUAAUCAUCCUACCCUUUGUGAAUUUGUUUGUAUGAAUUUUUUUAAAUGGGUCUUUCCCUAAGUUGGAUUGUUAGUAAAAUACAAAAAGACUUAGGGGAAUGACUUUUUUAAAAGACUUUUUUUUAAUUAAAACUUUUUGUAUUCAUUUGUCUAAAAUUUAUUUUUAUAAUAUAAAAACAACUUUUGACAAUGGAUCUCUUGGUUCUCGCAACGAUGAAGAACGCAGCAAAAUGCGAUAAGUAGUGUGAAUUGCAGAAUACGUGAAUCAUCGAAUCUUCGAACGCAUAUUGCACUUUUUUAGUUUACUAAAAAAGUAUGUCUGUUUGAGUAUCAGUAAAAUAUUCUCACAACAUAUAUUGUUUGUGGUUAUGAGUGUUUUACAACGAUAAACAAGUUGUUUCACUUUAAAUUCUUUUUAAUUGAAUUUUUACCAAUUCAUAAAUUAAAAUUGGAUAAAAUUUUCCUUUAACCGAGAAUAACCUAAACAAUUUUAAAUUUUAUGGAUUAAUAAACAUUCAUCAAAGGAAUCUAAUUAUACAUAAAUAACUUGAUCUCAAUCAGAUAAGAGUACCGCUGAACUUAAGCAUAUCAUAAGCGGAGGAAAAGAAACUAACAAGGAUUCCCUUAGUAACGGCGAGUGAAGCGGGAAGAGCUCAAAUUUGAAAUCUUCAAGGUUUGACCUUGACGAAUUGUAGUUUAUAGAAGUGUUUUCUGUUGGAGUUUUGGUAAAAGUUCUUUGGAAUAGGACAUCAUAGAGGGUGAGAAUCCCGUAUUUGACCAUGACUUUCCAGCUGUGUGAUACACUUUCAAAGAGUCGGAUUGUUGGGAAUGCAGUCCAAAAUGGGUGGUAAAUUUCAUCUAAAGCUAAAUAUUGGCGAGAGACCGAUAGCGAACAAGUACCGUGAGGGAAAGAUGAAAAGAACUUUGAAAGAGAGUUAAACAGUACGUGAAAUUGUCAAAAGGGAAGCGUUUGACACCAGUGUUGUUUUCUCGAAAAUCAAUUUAAUGAGUUCUUGUUUUUAAGUUAUUGUGACUUUAUCAGCGCAUUUCUUAUUUUACUUGACUCAUUGAAUGCACUUUUCGUUUAACAAGUCAACAUCAAUUUCUUUGGUGGUAAAAAGUUUAAAGGAAGGUGGCUUGGACUUCGGUUCAAGUGUUUAUAGCUUUUUUCUAUGCCAUCGGAGAGAUUGAGGUCUGCAGCGUAGAUCCUUCGGGGUUAGAUACCUUUGUGCUAAGUUAUAGUUUUUUAUAGACAACUUGUUGACUAUAAUUAACCCUGUAAUUUACUCGCUUAGGCUAUUUUACCUACGCUUAGGAUGUUG